UACGUAGGGGGCAAGCGUUAUCCGGAUUUACUGGGUGUAAAGGGAGCGUAGACGGUUAUGCAAGUCAGAAGUGAAAGCCCAAAGCUCAACUUCGGGACUGCUUUUGAAACUGUGUAACUAGAGUGCAGGAGGGGUAAGCGGGAUUCCUAGUGUAGCGGUGAAAUGCGUAGAUAUUAGGAGGAACACCGGCGGCGAAGGCGGCUUACUGGACUGUAACUGACGUUGAGGCUCGAAAGCGUGGGGAGCAAACAGG
rnacentral:rRNA from 1 species